rnacentral:piRNA from 1 species
UAAACAGUCUGAGGGACAGUCACUUCUGUC